rnacentral:rRNA from 1 species
UACGUAGGGUGCAAGCGUUGUCCGGAAUUAUUGGGCGUAAAGAGCUCGUAGGCGGUCUGUUGCGUCGGCUGUGAAAACCCGGGGCUCAACCCCGGGCCUGCAGCCGAUACGGGCAGACUAGAGUUCGGCAGGGGAGACUGGAAUUCCUGGUGUAGCGGUGAAAUGCACAGAUAUCAGGAGGAACACCGGUGGCGAAGGCGGGUCUCUGGGCCGAUACUGACGCUGAGGAGCGAAAGUGUGGGGAGCGAACAGG